rnacentral:tRNA from 1 species
GCGGGGGUUGCCAAGCCAGGUCAAAGGCGUAGAGCAUCCCAAAGAUGCGCUCACGCUUCAGGAGCCUAUCCCGUAGGGGUUCGUGGGUUCGAAUCCCACCCCCCGCA